rnacentral:lncRNA from 1 species
ACUUACUACUGAUCCCAGGCAACUCAGGCCUUUGGUGUUUUCUUGACAGCCCUGGGAGCUUGUGUGAGCUAGAACAGGCUUUGCAGAGCUUUUGUAAUGUACUGUGAUUUGUUUUAAACUAGAAUAUCCUUCCUUCAGCUGUAACUGCUUCUACCACAUUAGUUUUUGGAGUAGACUGGAGUACCUCUCCAGAAAGUAGUUUGUAACCAUUUUUGCUUUAACCACUUACUUAUAUGAGAAGCUUGCUAUAAGUUUGUUGAAAAAUUGGAUCUUGUUCUGGUUACCUUCUUGGCUUUAAAUGUGGUGUAGGAAAAUAAAGGGGUCAACCCUCCAAAUAAAAAAAUAUUCUCUUUCCCCUGCUGUCCAGCACCCUGUCCUCUUAAAAAAAACUAAGAAAAAACCAUACCAAAAAACAGCAGCAAAACCAAACAGGUAGUGUAUUUCACCAUGAAACCUUCUGUGUUGGUCCUGCCAAGAAACACAACAGUAUUCAUUAAUUUUGUACUUAUUUAAAAGCUUUUGUACAAUGUUCCUUCCAAACCAAACAAAAACCAAUAUAAAAUUUCUCUUAUACUGAAAUGAUGUACAAAGAGCAGCAUUUGGGACAGUUUAUCUAAGAGUAGACCACAACCACCAUCAUCUUAAUCCUAAGAGUGCUACCUUGUAAGUUUAGUUUCUUACACCAUAUUCUCUAUUUUUUCAUUACUACUCCCCAGAUUAUUACCAGCAGUAUUCGGAGUCAUAACAAAGUAAUUUUUAAUUCUUUGCUGUUAGAAUUUCAGCCAAAUUCAGCCUUUCUGAUGGUCUGUUCAGUGACACUUUCCUGGUGGGAGGAUGCCCUCAGCAGACAUAGGGUGGGGUUGCUGCUCCAGAACCCUCUGUGCCUGUCUGCUAGAGAGGUGAUGGAUUGGCCAAGGAUCUCUGUAAGGCUGCACCUUCUGUGUGUCAGAGCUGAGCCACUAACAGACUAGGACAGAUUUUCCACCGAGUCUGUCCUGCCUUGUCCUUUAUAUUGCUCUCAAUUUGCCCUGGCCAGUGGAUGGGUGAGAUCUGGUCCAUAAUAAGGUUGUGCUCAUACCUUCUCUUCUGGCAAUGCUUACAGGACAAUCUGAUUGCUGCAAGGCUCUAGGAAGAGGUAAAGAGGUGGGGAUAGAACAGAGUCAAAAUCAAAGCUGUUAGAAAAGCUUAGCCUCAGGGCCAUGUGAACCAGGCCAUGUCCUCCUAACACAUAUUGGGUGAUGAAAGUGGUCUCCUACAUUCCAGGUAGCAGUGAAUAAUUAUCUGGGCUAAAGGAUAUUAAACUGAGGGAAUUCCAGAGUCUCAAGGAAAACACAUCUGAAUUUGAAUUAUUUAAUUCUGAUUUUGAUCUCUUGUUCUCCUUUCUGUUAUUUAUGACGAAAACAAUUUUAUUCAUUUACAAAAAGCAAGGAGUCAUUAGCGUGCUGAUUAUACAGUUUAAGUUAACUUCUGAAUCAGUAAUAAAGCCAAACCCAAAAUCAUGGGCCAGGUCUUAGAACCCUUCAGAACAAUGUUAAAAAUCCCAAGGAUAUUUUGCAAAAUAAACCAAACAUCUCUCUUCCUUGGCUUUUCUGUCUUUAAACUGCCGGACACGAAUAUUUCACUUUCCAUCUCCAUAAUACGUGCUAAAAUAUAAUGUUAUAUAUAAUAUAUAUAAUAGGGGGGGGGGGGGGGGGGGGGGGGGGGGGGGGGGGGGGGGGGGGGGGGGGGGGGGGGGGGGG